rnacentral:rRNA from 1 species
GACGAACGCUGGCGGCGUGCUUAACACAUGCAAGUCGAACGGAAAGGCCCUGCUUUUGUGGGGUGCUCGAGUGGCGAACGGGUGAGUAACACGUGAGUAACCUGCCCUUGACUUUGGGAUAACUUCAGGAAACUGGGGCUAAUACCGGAUAGGAGCUCCUGCUGCAUGGUGGGGGUUGGAAAGUUUCGGCGGUUGGGGAUGGACUCGCGGCUUAUCAGCUAGUUGGUGGGGUAGUGGCUUACCAAGGCUUUGACGGGUAGCCGGCCUGAGAGGGUGACCGGCCACAUUGGGACUGAGAUACGGCCCAGACCCCUACGGGAGGCAGCAGUGGGGAAUAUUGCACAAUGGGCGGAAGCCUGAUGCAGCAACGCCGCGUGCGGGAUGACGGCCUUCGGGUUGUAAACCGCUUUCGCCUGUGACGAAGCGUGAGUGACGGUAAUGGGUAAAGAAGCACCGGCUAACUACGUG